CUUUGUUGGUGUUUGUGUCCCAUCAGAGAGAAGCUCCCUUUACGUCAUCCUUUCCACUGGAGGGAUCUUCGUCCUCAUCACUCUGGUGACGGUGUGUGCCUGCUGGACUCCUUCCAAAAAGCCAAGACAACAACGCAAAAAAUCUCAAUCAAGAAUCUAUGACCUCCCCUAUCAGAAACCAACAAGUCACCGAGAUAAGGGGCACCCAAAAAUACCUCAUCACAAUGGGAUAAAAACAGUGACUUCCCUUUACAUCCUCCAGGAAAAGGUAUGACAUUUAAAAUUCUGAUUUGAUUACUUUUAAGUGUUUAAUUGAGUGAAAUAACCCAACAAAACAACCUCC